GAAAAAGUCAAUUUUACUGGCAACAUGAAAGAAGUUGCUACUGGUUUAUUAAAUAAGAAGCCUUUGAGUGAGAGAGAACGAGAAAUACCACCCAACAUUCCCUCGACAAUUGCACAACCACAAAUAUCAUCACAAACUACACAAGACCUGCUUUUGCCACCAUCUCCACCACAACUACCACCACCUGCACAAACACUAACUAUGGAAGCAGCUCAAACUUUAGCAACUGCAGAUACCUUAGACAAAUAUCAUCACAAAAUAUAGAAGACUCGCUUUUGCCACCAUCUCCACCACCACUUGCACAAACACCACCUAUUGCAACGACUCAAACUUUAGAAAUUGAAGUGGUCAUCCUAAAAAAUGAGGAAACGAAGAGAAUGAAAAAUGAUAGAAAAUAUACAUGGGUAGACAAAUAUUUGGAAGAUUUUCUAUGCAAUCGAAGAACUGCACUUUGGCUACAAGAUGUGGUAAGUAUAUUUCUCACCUUGUUUAUAUUAUUGACCGUUUUCACUGCAACAAAAAGAAUUCCUAUAGUGGUAUUUUUGCACUACGACAGGUUAAAGCAGAAGAAUGUGGUCACUUCAUUUUUGAAGGCCUGCCAGGAGUGGG
rnacentral:lncRNA from 1 species